GCAAAGGACCCCUGUCAGUCUCCCCGGCCCAGGUUCUGUGAUACACUCCGACUUAGACUCUGGAGCAGUCAGUGCAUGACAGAACUUGGGCUUGGGUGGACCUUCUGCACGGAGAGGGG
rnacentral:pre_miRNA from 15 species